GACGAACGCUGGCGGCGUGCUUAACACAUGCAAGUCGAACGGAAAGGCCCUGCUUUUGUGGGGUGCUCGAGUGGCGAACGGGUGAGUAACACGUGAGUAACCUGCCCUUGACUUUGGGAUAACUUCAGGAAACUGGGGCUAAUACAGGAUAGGAGCUCCUGCUGCAUGGUGGGGGUUGGAAAGUUUCGGCGGUUGGGGAUGGACUCGCGGCUUAUCAGCUUGUUGGUGGGGUAGUGGCUUACCAAGGCUUUGACGGGUAGCCGGCCUGAGAGGGUGACCGGCCACAUUGGGACCGAGAUACGGCCCAGACUCCUACGGGAGGCAGCAGUGGGGAAUAUUGCACAAUGGGCGGAAGCCCGAUGCAGCAACGCCGCGUGCGGGAUGACGGCCUUCGGGUUGUAAACCGCUUUCGCCUGUGACGAAGCGUGAGUGACGGUAAUGGGUAAAGAAGCACCGGCUAACUACGUGCCAGCAGCCGCGGUGAUACGUAGGGUGCGAGCGUUGUCCGGGUUUAUUGGGCGUAAAGGGCUCGUAGGUGGUUGAUCGCGUCGGAAGUGUAAUCUUGGGGCUUAACCCUGAGCGUGCUUUCGAUACGGGUUGACUUGAGGAAGGUAGGGGAGAAUGGAAUUCCUGGUGGAGCGGUGGAAUGCGCAGAUAUCAGGAGGAACACCAGUGGCGAAGGCGGUUCUCUGGGCCUUUCCUGACGCUGAGGAGCGAAAGCGUGGGGAGCGAACAGGCUUAGAUACCCUGGUAGUCCACGCUGUAAACGGUGGGUACUAGGUGUGGGGUCCAUUCCACGGGUUCCGUGCCGUAGCUAACGCUUUAAGUACCCCGCCUGGGGAGUACGGCCGCAAGGCUAAAACUCAAAGGAAUUGACGGGGCCCCGCACAAGCGGCGGAGCAUGCGGAUUAAUUCGAUGCAACGCGUAGAACCUUACCUGGGUUUGACAUGGAUCGGGAGUGCUCAGAGAUGGGUGUGCCUCUUUUGGGGUCGGUUCACAGGUGGUGCAUGGCUGUCGUCAGCUCGUGUCGUGAGAUGUUGGGUUAAGUCCCGCAACGAGCGCAACCCUUGUUCACUGUUGCCAGCACGUUAUGGUGGGGACUCAGUGGAGACCGCCGGGGUCAACUCGGAGGAAGGUGGGGAUGACGUCAAGUCAUCAUGCCCCUUAUGUCCAGGGCUUCACGCAUGCUACAAUGGCUGGUACAGAGAGUGGCGAGCCUGUGAGGGUGAGCGAAUCUCGGAAAGCCGGUCUCAGUUCGGAUUGGGGUCUGCAACUCGACCUCAUGAAGUCGGAGUCGCUAGUAAUCGCAGAUCAGCAACGCUGCGGUGAAUACGUUCCCGGG
rnacentral:rRNA from 1 species